UGGCACGUACUGUCAUAGGGUUGUACUGUGUGGCACGUACUGUCAUAGGGUUGUACUGUGUGGCACGUACUGUCAUAGGGUUGUACUGUGUGGCACGUACUGUCAUAGGGUUGUACUGUGUGGCACGUAAUGUCAUAGGGUUGUACUGUGUGGCACGUAAUGUCAUAGGGUUGUACUGUGUGGCACGUACUGUCAUAGGGUUGUACUGUGUGGCACGUACUGUCAUAGGGUUGUACUGUGUGGCACGUACUGUCAUAGGGUUGUACUGUGUGGCACGUAAUGUCAUAGGGUUGUACUGUGUGGCACGUAAUGUCAUAGGGUUGUACUGUGUGGCACGUACUGUCAUAGGGUUGUACUGUGUGGCACGUACUGUCAUAGGGUUGUACUGUGUGGCACGUACUGUCAUAGGGUUGUACUGUGUGGCACGUACUGUCAUAGGGUUGUACUGUGUGGCACGUACUGUCAUAGGGUUGUACUGUGUGGCACGUACUGUCAUAGGGUUGUACUGUGUGGCACGUACUUGUUAGGGCAAAACCCCCACCUCUAUGAUUGUCAGGAUUCCAAAUUGAAGUUUUAUGAGCGCUCAGAGAGAGCUGACACAGACACACUUGCUGAAUCAACU